rnacentral:rRNA from 1 species
UAAUACGUAGGUGGCAAGCGUUGUCCGGAAUUAUUGGGCGUAAAGCGCGCGCAGGCGGUUUCUUAAGUCUGAUGUGAAAUCUUGCGGCUCAACCGCAAGCGGUCAUUGGAAACUGGGAGGCUUGAGUGCAGAAGAGGAGAGUGGAAUUCCACGUGUAGCGGUGAAAUGCGUAGAGAUGUGGAGGAACACCAGUGGCGAAGGCGGCUCUCUGGUCUGUAACUGACGCUGAGGCGCGAAAGCGUGGGGAGCAAACAGGAUUAGAUACCCUGGUAGUCCACGCCGUAAACGAUGAGUGCUAAGUGUUAGAGGGUUUCCGCCCUUUAGUGCUGCAGCUAACGCAUUAAGCACUCCGCCUGGGGAGUACGGCCGCAAGGCUGAA